rnacentral:lncRNA from 1 species
GCCCCCCGCGCUUCCGGAUCCGGGUUGUUGCGGGAUCUCACGGGCUUUAAACUGCGGCGCCGCAGCACCCGGGUGCGGAUCUCUAGAUGGGAGCCGGGGAUGGGCCGGUUGCCCGGCGGGUGGCAGUCGGAGCUGGCGGCGGCGGCAGCACGUUGCCGCCUCGGGCCCCGGAAACCUUCACCCCGCCGCCUACCCAGGCGGGCCGGCCCUGCCCGUCCACCGGCCGCCGAGAGUCCCCGGCCUUGGGCCCCCGGGGCCGCUGACUGGCCUCGGUCACCUCUCGGGGAAGACUCCCGCGUCUCCGUCUGCCCCCGCAGGAAGGGACCCUCUUCUCGCCCGCGAGGCUUCUCCAGGGCGGUGAGCGCAGAUCCCACGGGUCCCUCGGUCGGGGGUCAAGGCUGCCUCCGUUUCCAUCCCGGACCCGACAAUGGGCCGGAAAAAGAAGGCUUUACACGACUGCGCGGCGGAGUUCACCGACCUGGUGGUGAAGCAGCACCUGAUUGAGCACAGUGGGUCUGGGGACACGUCUGCGGUGGAGACCCUUUACUGCAGGGCCUGCGAGCUGCCUAUGCGCGUGCGGAGGGACCGCAUCCUGGAGCACCGAGGGAGCACCUGUCCUCGGGCAGGCACUACAGGAACCGCAGACUCAUCGGCAGCACGGCCUGCGGACGCCCAUUCUCAUCUCAGCCGCCUCGGAUCUCACUGCCACCGGCCUUCCCGCACACCCUUGCCACCUGCCUUUGCCCCAUCAGCCUCAGCCUCAGCUCAUUCUCUCAGGCAGUCCCAGCAUUGGCACGGUACCUCCUCCCGCCGUGGGCCGCACGUCUCUGCUCCCUGUCAACCCUACUGCCAUCAGCAUCACCACAAGUGA